rnacentral:lncRNA from 13 species
AUCAUGGGAUAUGUCUCAUGUCUGUAUGGAUAUAUCAUGGGAUAUGUCUCAUGUCUGUAUGGAUAUAUCAUGGGAUAUGUCUCAUGUCUGUAUGGAUAUAUCAUGGGAUAUGUCUCAUGUCUGUAUGGAUAUAUCAUGGGAUAUUUGGAUGUCUCAUGUCUGUAUGGAUAUAUCAUGGGAUAUGUCUCAUGUCUGUAUGGAUAUAUCAUGGGAUAUGUCUCAUGUCUGUAUGGAUAUAUCAUGGGAUAUUUGGAUGUCUCAUGUUUGUGAAAUGGCUGCAGUUUGAGCAGACAGGAAAGGGCAGAGUCACAUAGUAUUUACUGAUCAGUGAUUGGGAAAACAUAGGAAGUGACCUCAUUGACUACCUUCUUGCAACCUAUCAGCUACUUUUAUCAGUUCGUUUUAACCCCAGUUUUAGAGCAUUUACUCUCUGUUGUCUGCUGUGUUGUGAAGGCACCAGAUGAACUAAGACCACUGGACCAAAACACACUGAGGCUGGAAUUGAACUUAGAUUGAAUUCCCCCCCCCCCCGAGGGUCCAAACACGACUGUUUCGUAUGCAAGUGGUCAGGUUGUGUACAGGUCAGUGAGUUUGUGAGUGGGAGAGUGUGAGCAGGAUGAAGUUGUUCCUAUACUCUGAUCUAGGGUCAGUACUAUGUUAUGUCUUUCCCCCCUAAUGAUUAAAGUCAGGAUUUGGAGAGCAUAAGCUGAUCCUAGAUCUGUACCUUAGUGGCAACUUCUACUCAGAGUGUGAGCGUAUGUAGCAUGUACAUAGAUGAUCCGUCAGUCUGUAUAUAGGCAGUGUACAGGUUUGAUACGGCAGCAGACUCAGUCAGGUAACCUUAUUUUGAAAACCAGAGCAAUAUUUCUGUAUUGAUAAUCGGGCCAAGGCUGUAUGAUAAUAUAGUACGUGUAUCUAUCAGGAGGGAAUUAGAGGUCUGCUAAAAAACACAGAUCAAUGAGUUCCGGAGAGAUUCAUCCCUUUUUCAGUGAUGUAAUAAAGUUAGGAGAGUAAAUGUUUUCUGUUUAGAUUUGAGAGGUUUGAUGGAGUAUAACGCCAUAGCCUCCCUAUCACUGUCUUACUGUGCUUUGGUGACACCUAGUGGUCACACAACAUCGUCACAGUUUAACGGGAGUGGAGUGCGUGUGAUGUGACGCGAGUGUGUGAGCUUACGAAGAGGUUCGGUGUGUGUGCAUCACAGAGCUCGUGCAAUGAUGGGUGAAAUAGUUGUGAACACUAAAUAAAAAUCCUUAGUUUGAUGGAGUGUUUUUCUCAUGAAAUACUUUAAAUAUUUUGUCUUCCUUUGAAGCCUUCAUGCAGUAAGUGUGUGUGGUUUAUUACAACCUCCCAGCCUGUCUUUGUGGAGGAGUACAGGACAGGAUCACACUCCUGUACCAAUACUACUGACAGCAUCACCGUGAAACACAAGGAUUUCCAACAUCACCCAUGGAGUCCAGUGGAGGCUAAUGAGGGGAGGACGGCUCAUAGUAAUGUCUGGAAUGGAAUCAAUGGAAUGGCACCAAACACAUCAAAGACAUGGUUUCUAUGUGUUUGUUACCAUUCCAUUGACUCCAUUCCAGCCAUAUUUAUGAGCUGUCCUCCCCUCAGCAGCCUCCACUGAUGGAGUCCUUGUUUGAUGUAAUUCUGCCUGCCAAUGUCGCUGAACAGAAGGACAUGGGGAGGUCACCAAGGGCCUGCUUCAGACUUGAGAUAAAAAAAGACUUAACAUGGACUUAAGUUAAUAUAUUGUUUUACUUAAGUGCAUGUUCAUUUAACUUACAUUAUCUUAUAGGGCAUUGUAAAUGAGCCAGGGAUACUUUUUUCAAAUACUAUUUUCAAAGACCCGGGUUAAAUGCAUGGGAGUAUAUUUGACUAUUGUCAACUACUUUCCAGGUGUAUUUCCAAAUACAUUAAAAUAUUCAACUACUUGUCUUCUCAAAUAAACAAUAUCUUAAUACUUACUUCAAAUGUAUGUGAGAGUAACUGAGAUAUUUGAACUGGUAUUUGUACCCAGGUCUGCAGGUAUCCAUGGUGAUGCUGAACUGUACUAUGUAAUGCCUGUUGGACCAGUUACCCCAUUCGUGUUUGUUACCCCUUGACACUGAUCUAAGGU